rnacentral:rRNA from 1 species
AUUGAACGCUGGCGGCAGGCUUAACACAUGCAAGUCGAGCGAGUGGCGGACGGGUGAGUAAUGUAUGGGGAUCUGCCCGAUGGAGGGGGAUAACUACUGGAAACUGUGGCUAAUACCGCAUACUAUAGGAUGAACCCAAAUGGGAUUAGGUAGUUGGUGGGGUAAAGGCUCACCAAGCCGACGAUCUCUAGCUGGUCUGAGAGGAUGACCAGCCACACUGGGACUGAGACACGGCCCAGACUCCUACGGGAGGCAGCAGUGGGGAAUAUUGCGCAAUGGGGGCAACCCUGAAGCAGCCAUGCCGCGUGAAUGAAGAAGGCCUUCGGGUUGUAAAGUACUUUCGGCAGGGAGGCGUUAACCGCAGAAGAAGCACCGGCUAACUCCGUGCCAGCAGCCGCGGUAAUUC